UUUGAAUUAUACAAAACCAUGGCACACAACCUACAUAGAGAAGAAAGCUAACCUUGUAAAUUUUCAGAUCCUAAAACACUGAAAUUCCAAGUGCUAUGUGUCUGCAACCUGAGAGAGUUUCUUAUGUAAGAGCCUAAUCACAACCAAUGUGUGGUUGCCAUAUUGGAGGAGCCUCUGUAAUUGAGAAGAAGAGACUUGCAUGCGUGAUAUUACGUCUCAUGUCACCAGAAUAAGGGCCCAUCAAGUGACUUGAGAGAUAGAAAAGCAUCGAAUUAGAACAAUUGUAGUAGCUACCAAAAUCACUAGAACAUGUGCUUUAGCGAUUUUACAUCUCAUAGCCAAGAGAAAACUAAGACUCUACUAGAAAUAAAUAAUACACCAUAAUUGUAGCAGGCUACAGGCUACUCUACAGUUUAAGUACACUCUGUCCGCAAAUGAAAUAUUUAUAUCUCCAGCUAUUUUUGUCAUUCUACGUUAAGAAGAAUGUUUGUUAUUGCAACCACAUAUGUCCAUAAUAACAAGGGUUCUACUCUUAAUGUAUUCAAUCAGCUUCACAACAUCUAAAAUGUCAAACAGAACAAAGCGCAAAUCAUGGGGCACCCCUGGUUCAGACAAUAAGCCCCUGGUCCGUAAUCAAAUUUCAACUAUGUUUUAUAAAUCUAGAAUAAGCUUCUUAAAAUAAAUCGAUCAAUGUAACUGGCUUUUGAAUCAUCCACAGUUUGUCUAUGUGCACAAUACGUCUGUACACACAUUUCAUAUUGGACCAAGGUGGAUCUAAAGCAAACUAAACCUGGUAUGUUAUUAUGGGCCAUAAGAAGGGGUAGAGGGCUUUCUUUUUCUUAUUUUACAGACUUGUAUAGUGCCCAUGUAUUGAGUCCCAUUAUCAAUCCCCACAUUGAGAAAAUUCAAACGCAUCACUGGCUAAAUGGACUGGGGUUAGCCAACGGAUUUUCUAUGUUAUAGGACAUUUACCGUGAGUUUAUGGAAUAAUCACACAUCCACUUAUGAUUUUGUGGGUGCUAGAGGGGGGACCAUUAAGAAUAAAGUACAGCUCAGAAUUGUAACUCGUGGAAUCAUAGAAUGGAAGAUUCUAUGUGGAGCUGAAGCCAAUAUACUCUCAGUAUACAUUGAAGAACCCGCUAUUAUUGAAGGCAACUAGUUAAAUGUAAUUUGAAGACUCAAUGGGAAAUUUCCUUGUGGAAGCCAAAGUUCACUUUUGUGUAAGUCACAAAGCUUUUAUCUAAUUGUUGCAUAGUUGAUGUCAUUCACGACCCUGAGAUAAGAUAGGGGUAUGAAAUACCAUACAAACGUUAACAAAAAUUAUUGGAGCGUGAGACCAAUUCGAGAUCAGAGAAGGGAUGUCGUGAGGCUGGUGAUCGCGUAACCCAUAUUUUUCUUGCCCUUUUAAGAGAGAAAAGAGGAGAUCUAUGUUUACAGAUGAAACUCUGUAUACCUUUUUUUCUUGCUCUAUUCUAUGAGGUCAUCUUCUAAAAAAUUUUCUAGCCUUUUUAUUUCUUCUUCAGUUGGUUUAUCACCAACUUCUGGUGGAUAUUCUCUUAGUACAUAUAUUAUUCUAUCUUGGAGAAGAUAUUUCAUCUUCCUCUUCAACAUCCCAAAAUUAUUUCCAUUCAAUUUUUCAACUUUAGAAAGUUCAGCCAUUACAAUUCUACUUGCCAUUUGCAAAGUUUUGUGUGAGUAAACUAAUUCUUUCUAAGUUCUAAAGAAGCUAAACAAGGCACCAAAAUAUGUGGUCAAUACUUUUACAGAGAGAGCUGCAAUUAUUUCAUAAACAAUGUCAGUUAUUAAUUGAUGCCUUAAAAAAAAAUUUAUGAAAUAGGCAAUCUUCAAAUUUGAAGUAACACUACAAUUAUCAAAGACAAUAUAAAAUUCCCCUUUAUAUUAUUUAUUUGGGGCGCAUGAGCAACAUCAAGUACGUGUGAGAAAUAUCAGCAGUAUAAAUGAACAAUCUCAGCAGGAGUAUUAUCAAACAUGAGCCUAAAAUUGGGCUUCUCUCAAAUCAGGCAAAAAAAAAAAAAAAGUUAACAUAUGGUAGAAUAAGAUUAAUACCUACCAAAUUGUCCACCAAAAGAAUAACCCAAUAUUAUUAUUAUUAUUAUUUUAUUUUUUAUUUUUUAUUUUUUUAUUUUUUUUUUACAGUGAGUCAAGCUAGUCUCACUCAGUCGAACAAGUGAUGAAAAAAAGACUAUAAUCCCAACCAGUGAUCUGAAUCAAUUACAAGAUUAUCAAGUACAUACAAUUUAUGUAACUUUCCUUUACAAAUUUGAUGACAACGCCAAAUCUAUAGCAGGAUUAAGUUGAAAUCUCAAUGAUUAUAUAAACAAUAAAUUAAAAUAUAUUUCCUAUCAAUCAGAUGUUAUAGAGCUUUGAUACUUAUCAAUGAACAGAACUGAAAAAUAUAUCUCCUAUAUAAGAUAUUACUCAUUUUGAAAGUGUAUAUGAGAUUUAACUCAUUUUGAAAGUACAAGGACUUCCUUGGGGGACAACGACAUCUCUUCUUCCUCUUCAGAAUCAGAAUCAUCUUAUUCCAGCGAAAACCAAUCAAAGGAGGAUGAAGGUGAGUAGGCUUCCUCCUCUAGAGCUCUGUCAUGUUUCGCUUCCCCCAUUUAGAGUUGCAAAUGCCGAUACCGAGGCGGCUUUGUACAGCCGCAUUUCACGGCUGGAGGCACGGGAUGCUUACUUGCCACUCGCACACAGGUCGCUGCUUGCGUGAUGUCCUAGAGUCUUUUGGAAACCUUCUAAGUAGUACAAGCUAGCUUAUAAUCCAAUAGACACACCCACACACACACAAAACCUACCACUACCUGUGUACAGCCAUGAGAUGGAUUCCAUUUUGUAUUUUAUUUUGCACAGGACCUUUUGAUGUUGCUGCAAGAAUUUUUAUGUUUCUGCAGUAUUCAUACGCUAAUUUUGUCCCUCAAGAUUCAUACGUUGAUUUUGUGCCUCAAGCAAUUGAUUGAACUGUGUGAUUGAGCUAUCAGGGUCAAUUUUACAUAGUAGGCCUCGAAAAAAUCAGGAUUUUCUUCUUCCAGUUUCUUUCAUAGUGCAUCCAAAAAAAAGUAAUAAUAAUAAUAAAUAAAUAAAAGCAAGUCUAAUGGGCCAAUUUUAUAACAUACUGCAUACAAGAAAACGUAAUAAUAAUAAUAAAUACAUAAAAGCAAGUAUAGUGGGCCAAUUUUAUAACAGUUUACAUUAAUCAAGUAUCUAUAAUUAGAAAACUCAAGUGGUCAAUCAAGAACAAAAUAUCAUGAAGAUCUUCAAGACACCAUCACUGCGACAAAGGAGGUGAUAACAGGUGAAAGAAAAUAUAUUGGGAAAAAAAAAUUGACUUUUAGUAUAAUUAAAACGAAUACCAUAUCAUGCUCUUUUGGGCAGGUACAGUUAGGGAAAUGGUUAUAACAUCUUUUUCCUUCCACAUGAUGCUGUGUGAUACAUUAUAAAAGUGUAAACAAAAUGUGGACAUGAAGCGGAGUAAAACGGGAUGAAGUAAAUGUAUGAUGGCUAGGAGCUUGAGAUUCUCAAAAAUGAAAAUGCAAACUAAGAACUAAAAGACUAGAAGAAAUGCACUUAAUAAUACUCAUAUCUUAUCAUUCCUCAUCAUUUGGUCAUAAAUAUUAAGUAUCCAAUACAUGAAACAACAUAUAAUUCAUAUUAUAGUAUUUAAAAAGAAAAUGAGUCACAGAGCAAAGAACACUUGAAUAAACACCUUUUUUUUUUUUCUUUUUUGAAUAAAACACUUGAAUAAACAUAUUUCAAUAUGAAAAUGAAAGGAACUAAAGAAAAACCAAGAUGCUAUGCACAUAAAAAAGGAGGGUUCAACUGUGAAAGAGAGCAUAGUAAAUGGAUUCGUCUGUAAAUACCUAGAUUUGUGAUUGAAGGCUUUAUUUUCUUCCUGUCAAAAAGGACCUUUUUGACCAUUUCUCUAUCCAUAUACUUUUGUAGACAGCACUCAAUUAGAUUAGAAACCUACAGUAGUCAUGUCAAAACAAUAAGGAAUAAUUCAAAAUUCUUUGAAUAUGAAAGGGAGCUAAAACCUAAAACUUAAAGAAAUAAAGAGCACUUCUUACAUGAUCAAUGCAUUGUAGGGCUGUUUCUUUAUGGUUGCAGAGUGACACUUGUGACCAAGAUUUCAUUUCCAUGAAUCCAAGGUGAGAUUCCUGCAAGGCAUAAUACCAAGAACAACUCAAUUAAAGACAUUAUUUUCAACAAAAGGUGCAUUCAACUCUCAUCAAAAGGUACAUUCAACUCAAUUAAAGAGAUUAUUCUCAACAAAAGAUGCAUUUAAAGGAUCAACUUUAAAUAAGACUUUUAACCAUGUAAACUAAGAGAUGACUUUCAUCGGUUUAUUCUAAUAAAUUAAUUGAAGACAGAACAUCAAGGAAAACUCACAAGUCAACAAGGCACCAGCUAAAAAAAAAUUCAAAACUGAAAUGCACUAUUGAGUCAUAAAUAAAGGCAUACACACAAUCUCAACAUCCCACAAAAUUUUACACAAUCUUAACAUUAUCUUUGAUAUUUCAGGAUAACAUGACAUUUAUAGUAAUCAUGGUCAUUGGAAGACCAAAACCUGUUUGAUUGACCAAAAUCUUUUUUCUUUUUUUUCUUAAGAAAUUGAUUGACCAAAAUCUUCUCACCCAAGAUUCAGAUGACUUCCCAUUAUCUAAAUCCCCAUAAAUGACAAUGAUCAUGUUAGGAAACCAAUCCUUCACGACAUUAUCAACCAGAUCCAAUUUAAUCCGAAUUUUGAUUUGGAGGUUUUGAUUUAAGGUAUCUGAGGAAGGUUUAA
rnacentral:lncRNA from 1 species